rnacentral:rRNA from 1 species
UACGUAGGGUGCAAGCGUUAAUCGGAAUUACUGGGCGUAAAGCGUGCGCAGGCGGCUUUGCAAGACAGAUGUGAAAUCCCCGGGCUCAACCUGGGAACUGCAUUUGUGACUGCAUGGCUAGAGUGCGGCAGAGGGGGAUGGAAUUCCGCGUGUAGCAGUGAAAUGCGUAGAGAUGUGGAGGAAUACCGAUGGCGAAGGCAGCCCCCUGGGAUAACACUGACGCUCAUGCACGAAAGCGUGGGGAGCAAACAGG